rnacentral:rRNA from 1 species
AGGACGAACGCUGGCGGCGUGCUUAACACAUGCAAGUGGAGCGACGAACCAGGGCUUGCCCUGGGGCAGAGCCGCGAACGGGUGAGUAACACGUGGGUUACCUACCCCGAUGACCGGGACAACCCGAGGAAACUCGGGCUAAUACCGGAUGUGGUCUUCGGACGAAAGGAAGCUUCGGCCUCCGCAUCGGGAUGGGCCCGCGGCGCAUUAGCUUGUUGGUGGGGUAAUGGCCUACCAAGGCGACGAUGCGUAGCUGGUCUGAGAGGACGAUCAGCCACACUGGGACUGAGACACGGCCCAGACUCCUACGGGAGGCAGCAGUGGGAAUUGUCGCAAUGGGCGAAAGCCUGACGACGCAACGCCGCGUGGAGGAUGAAGACCUUCGGUCGUAAACUCCUUUCGAUCGAGACGAAUGGCCCCCCGGUCAAUAGCCUGGGAGUGACGGUACCGAGAGAAGAAGACCCCGGCUAAACUCCGUGCCGCGAGCCGACGGU